rnacentral:rRNA from 1 species
AGGAGCACGGCUGGGUAGCUAAGUACGGAAGGGAUAAGCGCUGAAAGCAUCUAAGCGUGAAGCCCCCCUCAAGAUGAGAUUUCCCAAUUCGUAAGACCCCUUGAAGACGACGAGGUAGAUAGGUUGGAGGUGGAAGUGCAGCAAUGCAUGGAGCUGACCAAUACUAAUCGGUCGAGGGCUUAUCCUAAA